GGCGGAGCUCGGCGGUCGUCGUCGCCGGCCUACUAGCUGCCAUCGAUCCUUUUUUGUUUCACUUUCUGUUGGUUAGGUCUAGGUAGGCACGCACCUGUUUUGGGUUAGUUAUUAGUAGGGGGGGUUAUUUAGUUUAGCGCAGGAUGUCUGUGUUUGUGCGUGAUUAUGUUUCUUGUCCGUUUUGUGUGCUUGAGGAACGUGUGCUGUUUUUCCUCUUCCUGUGGUUGGUUUCGUUGUGUUCACCACCGCAGAAGUAUUUAAGUGCUGCGUCCCUAUUUUUGGCGACCAUAUCUACUUUCUGGAAUAAAGAAGUGUGGUCAAGAAUUCUCUGUCUCCUGCGCCUGACUCUACCUCUCCUGCUUUCUUGAGCCAGCCCGUGACAGGUACAUGGUGUUUGUAUUGGUAAGGUCUACAGUAUAUGGACUGGUACAUGGUGUGUAUAUUGCUAAGGUCUACAGUAUAUGGACUGGUCCAUGGUGUUUCUAUUGGUAAGGUCUACAGUAUAUGGACUGGUACAUGGUGUAUGUAUUGGUAAGGCCUACAGUAUAUGGACUGGUAAUGAUGUUUGUAUUGGUACGGUCUACAGCAUAUGGACUGGUACAUGAUGUGUAUAUUGGUAAGGUCUACAGUAUAUGGACUGGUACAUGGUGUAUGUAUUGGUAAGGCCUACAGUAUAUGGACUGGUACAUGGUGUGUUUAUUGGUUAUGUCUACAGCGUAUGGACUGGUACAUCGUUUGUAUAUUGGUAAGGCCUACAGUAUAUGGACUGGUACAUGGUGUGUAUAUUGGCAAGGUCUACAGUAUAUGGACUGGUACAUGGUGUGUAUAUUGGUUAUGUCUACAGUAUAUGGACUGGUUCAUGGUGUUUGUAUUGGUAAGGCCUACUGUAGAUGGACUGGUACAUGGUGAUUGUAUUGGUAAUGUCUA
rnacentral:lncRNA from 1 species